rnacentral:rRNA from 1 species
AACGAACGCUGGCGGCGCGCCUAACACAUGCAAGUCGAACGAGAAGGCGUAGCAAUACGCUUGUAGAGUGGCGAACGGGUGAGUAAUACGUGGGUGACCUACCCUCGAGUGGGGAAUAACCCGCCGAAAGGCGGGCUAAUGCCGCGUACGCUUCCGUCCUCACGGGGACGGAAGGAAAGCUGUACCGUGGGUACGGCGCUCAAGGAUGGGCUCACGUCCUAUCAGCUUGUUGGUAGGGUAACGGCCACCAAGGCUACGACGGGUAGCUGGUCUGAGAGGACGAUCAGCCACACUGGCACUGCGACACGGGCCAGACUCCUACGGGAGGCAGCAGUGAGGAAUAUUGCGCAAUGGGCGAAAAGCCUGACGCAGCGACGCCGCGUGGGGGA